UACGAAGGGGGCUAGCGUUGUUCGGAAUUACUGGGCGUAAAGGGCGCGUAGGCGGUACUUCAAGUCAGGCGUGAAAGCCCCGGGCUCAACCUGGGAACCGCGCUUGAGACUGGAAAGACUAGAGUUCGGGAGAGGAUGGUGGAAUUCCCAGUGUAGAGGUGAAAUUCGUAGAUAUUGGGAAGACACCGAUGGCGAAGGCAGCCAUCUGGACCGACACUGAC
rnacentral:rRNA from 1 species